AAACGCUGUUCAAUCCUUGCCCAAACGCUGUCCGUUGAAGAAACAGUGAAGAUUCAUGGCUGAUUGAGACGCCUCCUUCCGCAAGCAGAGAGAGAGGACCGGAUUUGAGACCUAAUUUCUCUGUUUCGUUUCAAUUCGAAUUCAAACCAACCGGAGCAAGACAAUCCGGACUAGUAGUAGCGCCGUAGCGAGAAUUGCAGCGGCAGGAAAUCCGGGUUUCCAGACGAUUCAUAACAACUGUUCAACAAUGGCGCCUUCUAUGACAUCCUCGUCCACGCUAUGGAUUCCACUUACCGUCUCCACCGCUUCAUCCUCUCCCGCAGUUCAUACUUCAGUGGCAACAAAUGGAUAUUGAAUAUACUUUCUGGCAAAUGCUUCACUUGUGCACAUCACCAAAAGUUGUGUAAGUUUGACACUCUUUUUUUUUUUGUAUCUCAUCCUAACUAUGGUAUUCAUACUGUGCUUUAAUUUCAUCAUGGAGUUUAUGCUUUUCAAUUUAUGAAAAAGGAGAUCCAUUACCGCUGCUU